GGUUCCAAAGAGCAUAUUUUACGCAAACGCAAUCCUUGUUCGUCUUCUUCCUUCUAUAACAGUCUCUCUCUCUCUGUUCUUUCCGCUUUACCGUUCUCUCUGCUUUUGCUAAAAGGUGGCAUUGAUAAUAGAAUGUAAAACUGGAUCAGUUAAGCACUACAUGGAUGUGUGAUCAUUGGUUUGAUUUGCAUUGUAGAUCCAGCUUGUGGCAAACUGUGUUCUGGAAGGGUCUGCUGCUUGUGAAAGGCUGUUCUUGAAGGGUCUUCGAGCAAUAGAGGACCCUUCAGGCUGGAUUCUUGGUUUAUUCGAAGCGGUUAGUCACAGUAAGAUAAGUUUUGUUGUAUAAGCGGUGGGUAAAGCGGUUGUCGGUUUGCUGAACAUGCCAGCUGUACAGAAGCUUUAUAACGCUUGUAAAGCAUCACUUUCACCCAACGGACCGGUUUCAGAAGACGCUCUCGAGAAAGUUCGGUCCCUAUUGGAUAAAAUCAAGCCUUCUGAUGUGGGUCUUGAGCAAGAAGCACAACUUGUACGGAGUUGGAAUAGUACUCUGCACGAGCGCAAUGGGGAACUACAGCCACCGCCACCAAUCAAAUACCUGCACUUACAUGAAUGUGACAGCUUCUCUAUGGGGAUAUUUUGCAUGCCGCCUUCCUCUAUCAUACCUCUACACAAUCACCCUGGGAUGACAGUCUUAAGUAAGCUGGUAUAUGGUUCCUUUCACGUGAAAGCCUAUGAUUGGAUCAAUAUUCCAGGUCCUUUGGUUCCAUUGGAAGGUGCAAGACCGGCAAAGCUCGUUAAAGACUGUGACAUGACUGCUCCGUGUGGGACAACUGCUCUGUAUCCUACUUCUGGAGGCAACAUCCAUUGUUUCAAAGCUAUAACUCCUUGUGCUAUUUUUGACAUCCUUUCUCCGCCUUACUCUUCUGAGGAUGGACGGCAUUGCACUUAUUUCCGGAGGUCUCCAGUAGCGGAUCUGCCAGGUGAACUCGAGGUGGAUGGAGUGACAUUCUCCGACGUGACUUGGUUGGGAGAGUUUCAACUUCCCGAUGACUUUAUGAUCCGUAGAGGGCAAUACAAAGGCCGUGUCAUCAAAACAUGACAUGUUUCAUUUUUUUGGUUCUGUCCAACUUUUAUGAUGCAUUCAGUGAAGGCAAAGUACGGCAAAGCCAUGAAUCAGAUGGAGAUUUUGGUAAAGGAGGGGGAGCAGGAAGCUUUGAAUGUGUUACGCGUGAGUUUUCUAACUUUUCUUUUCGUACUGUUUGCUUUCUGGUACUUCGUUUAACAUCAUCUUUGCGUUUCACUGAGGUGACUGCAUCCUGGUAAUGAGCUUGUUCAGAAGCUGUCAGUGCCAUCAUUUCCCCUCCAUUGUUCAAUUUUUCCGCUGAUAUUGGUGGAAAAUAACUAAGUGAAGAAUCGACAGAGGGCUUUUGUUCUGCCAUCUUUUUAAGAACAUCUUGAUUCUCAUCCUAGUUUUCUCUGCCAGAGGAGCUGCUAAAUCCGCUUCACCUGCAAUGUUCUGAUAAUCAAAUAAUUCUUGAAAGCGAUCAUUUGUGUCCUCAUGCGCAUGAACUGUGACAAAUCCGGCCACUGACUCAGAUUUGGACUGCUGCAAUAAGUUAAAACCAUAAGUGAUAAAGAAAAUGUGGGAGAGGAAGGUAGCACAACAUAAGCGGCUGCAGUAGAGCAACAGAAGUGACGGGAAGAAAGACAGUGGAAAUUGAUACCUCAUUCUCUGAUCCACUGCAAGAAGCGGUAGAUGAUGAUCCAGUCUGUGUUCUACUGGCAGGAGACAUUGGUACUCUGGUUCUAGCACUCAUUCCAGGUAUAGGAUUCAUCAGACAAAA